GAUGAAGAACGCAGCGAAAUGUGAUACGUAAUGUGAAUUGCAGAAUUCAGUGAAUCAUCGAAUCUUUGAACGCACAUUGCGCCUGCCAGCACUCUGGCAGGCAUGCCUGUUCGAGCGUCAUUUCAACCAUCAAGCCCUAGGCUUGCGUUGGAGCCCUGCGGCUGCCGCAGGCCCCUAAAAGCAGUGGCGGGCUCGCUAUCACACCGAGUGCAGUAGAUUACUCUUCGCUCAGGGCGUGUGGCGGGUUCCAGCCGUGAAACCCCCUACUUCUCAAGGUUGACCUCGGAUCAGGAAGGAAUACCCGCUGAACUUAAGCAUAUCAAUAAGCGGAGGA
rnacentral:misc_RNA from 1 species